rnacentral:tRNA from 1 species
AGGGACAAGGGAGGAUUACAAAGUUUUCUCCAAGUCCUGUGUUUAUCCUUCAUCCUUUCUGAAGUUUCGAUCGAAAGAUUCCUCUACCA